GAUGAACGCUAGCGGAAGGCAUAAUACAUGCAAGUCGAACGGAUGUAGCAAUACAUUAGUGGCGCACGGGUGCGUAACGCGUAUGCAACCUACCUUCAUCAGGGGGAUAACUACCCGAAAGGGUGGCUAACACCGCAUAAUAAUACUGAAUGGCAUCAUUUGGUAUUUAAAUCUGAGGAGGAUGAAGAUGGGCGUGCGUCUGAUUAGCUAGUUGGUGUGGUAACGGCGCACCAAGGCGACGAUCAGUAGGGGAACUGAGAGGUUGGUCCCCCACACUGGCACUGAGAUACGGGCCAGACUCCUAAGGGAGGCAGCAGUAGGGAAUAUUGGUCAAUGGUGGGAACACUGACCCAGCCAUUCCGCGUGCAGGAAGAAGAGUCUCUGACUUGUAAACUGCUUUAGCAAGGGAAGAAAAAGCUCAUGCGUGAGAAAUUGACGGUACCUUGAGAAUAAGCACCGGCUAACUACGUGCCAGCAGCCGCCGUAAGAC
rnacentral:rRNA from 1 species